AUUGAACGCUGGCGGCAGGCCUAACACAUGCAAGUCGAGCGGAUGAAGGGAGCUUGCUCCUGGAUUCAGCGGCGGGCGGGUGAGUAAUGCCUAGGAAUCUGCCUGGUAGUGGGGGAUAACGUCCGGAAACGGGCGCUAAUACCGCAUACGUCCUGAGGGAGAAAGUGGGGGAUCUUCGGACCUCACGCUAUCAGAUGAGCCUAGGUCGGAUUAGCUAGUUGGUGGGGUAAAGGCCUACCAAGGCGAGGAUCCGUAACUGGUCUGAGAGGAUGAUCAGUCACACUGGAACUGAGACACGGUCCAGACUCCUACGGGAGGCAGCAGUGGGGAAUAUUGGACAAUGGGCGAAAGCCUGAUCCAGCCAUGCCGCGUGUGUGAAGAAGGUCUUCGGAUUGUAAAGCACUUUAAGUUGGGAGGAAGGGCAGUAAGUUAAUACCUUGCUGUUUUGACGUUACCAACAGAAUAAGCACCGGCUAACUUCGUG
rnacentral:rRNA from 1 species